GAGUUUGAUCCUGGCUCAGGACGAACGCUGGCGGCAGGCUUAACACAUGCAAGUCGAACGAACUCUUCGGAGUGAGUGGCAGACGGGUGCGUAACACGUGGGAACCUACCUUAAGGUACGGAACAACACCGAGAAAUAGGUGCUAAUACCGUAUGUGCCCUUCGGGGGAAAGAUUUAUCGCCUUAAGAUGGGCCCGCGGCAGAUUAGAUAGUUGGUGGGGUAAAAGCCUACCAAGUCUACGAUCUGUAGCUGGUCUGAGAGGAUGAUCAGCCACACUGGAACUGAGACACGGUCCAGACUCCUACGGGAGGCAGCAGUGGGGAAUAUUGGGCAAUGGGCGAAAGCCUGACCCAGCCAUGCCGCGUGAGUGAUGAAGGCCUUAGGGUUGUAAAACUCUUUCGCUAGUGAAGAUAAUGACGGUAACUAGUAAAGAAGCCCCGGCUAAUUUCGUGCCAGCAGCCGCGGUAAUACGAAAGGGGCUAGCGUUGUUCGGAAUUACUGGGCGUAAAGCGCGCGUAGGCGGGCUAUCAAGUUGGGGGUGAAAUCCCGGGGCUCAACCCCGGAACUGCCUCCAAGACUGUUAGCCUAGAGGAUGUGAGAGGAUAGUGGAAUUCCGAGUGUAGAGGUGAAAUUCGUAGAUAUUCGGAAGAA
rnacentral:rRNA from 1 species